rnacentral:sRNA from 1 species
GCAAGCGAAGUAUUCUAUGAUUGAUUGAU